CUACAGGCUGGUAGCAAAGACUAAAUAAUUUCACCCAUGCGGAGGACUUAGAGAAUUGGCACAUAGUGAGUACAACCUUAAGUGUUAAGUAGUGGUACUCAGAAACCCUGUGAUGCAAUACUUUAUGAUGUCAAUGUAAAGGAAACUGAAAAGAGUGUUGAAAGACAAUGGUCAUGGAACUGAACAGAUGAGCCUCUGAUUCCUGUUCUGCCACUGAUAAACCCUAUGGUCUUUGUCAUUUACUCCCCUUCCUGGGCCUCCCUAGGGAGUAAUGAGGCUAGAAGAAAUGAUACCUGGGAAGGGAGUAUACAGCCAUAUGAGAAUCACUGUUAUAGGUGAUGAGGCUCCAUGAGAGGGCAUUAACUUCUAAAAGCAUGAGAAACCAUCAUCUUCUUCUGCAAUGAGAGAAUCAAUGUGCCUCAUGAAGUUACAUACCAUGAUGAAAUAAACCAUAAUCCAUCCAAAGUUUACCAGCCUCUUAUCCCUGCAGCGCCACAUUUAACUUGACUCUGAAGUUACAGUUAAAUUAAAAGGGUUUGCAUAUUUUAUUCUCUCUAGUGAUUUUAUUGCUCACUAGAGAUUUGCUGUAUUAAAAAGC
rnacentral:lncRNA from 1 species